UACAGAGGGGGCGAGCGUUGUUCGGAAUUACUGGGCGUAAAGGGCGCGUAGGCGGCCCGCUAAGUCGAACGUGAAAUCCCCAGGCUUAACCUGGGAACUGCGUCCGAUACUGGCAGGCUUGAAUCCGGGAGAGGGAUGUGGAAUUCCAGGUGUAGCGGUGAAAUGCGUAGAUAUCUGGAGGAACACCGGUGGCGAAGGCGGCAUCCUGGACCGGUAUUGACGCUGAGGCGCGAAAGCUAGGGGAGCAAACGGG
rnacentral:rRNA from 1 species